GCUCUUGGGUUGUAAACCUCUUUUCUCAGGGAAGAAAAAAAUGACGGUACCUGAGGAAUAAGCAUCGGCUAACUCCGUGCCAGCAGCCGCGGUAAUACGGAGGAUGCAAGCGUUAUCCGGAAUGAUUGGGCGUAAAGCGUCCGCAGGUGGCGAUGAAAGUCUGCUGUUAAAGAGUGAGGCUCAACCUCAUAAAAGCAGUGGAAACUACAUAGCUAGAGUACGUUCGGGGCAGAGGGAAUUCCUGGUGUAGCGGUGAAAUGCGUAGAGAUCAGGAAGAACACCGGUGGCGAAAGCGCUCUGCUAGGCCUGUACUGACACUGAGGGACGAAAGCUAGGGGAGCGAAUGGGAUUAGAUACCCCA
rnacentral:rRNA from 1 species